AAAUCAUUAAUAAUACUAAUAACUAAUAAUAAAAAUGCACCUGGUUGAACAACAUUAACUUUGAAUUCCUUAGUGUUGAUGGUAUAAAAAGCUUGGAGUUUGAUGGGUACAGAGGCAGCUUUAAGGUCACGAGCUUCAAUCCAUAAAUGGUAGUCCAAGGGAAAAGGGUCAGGAACUACAUCGAUCACCCUUGCAAACUCCAGCGUUGCAUUCUACAAUGUUAAAAGAUCAAUUCAACCAAACUAUAAAGGAAAAUUUGUUGAAAACCAUCUUAUAAAAACCAAAUUUUGUUGAAAACGAUCUUAUAAUUUUUAUUUUUAUUUUGUCAAGGCACACCUGUUUUAACUUUUUUUUUUUGUUAAGUCCCACCACUCCCCGGAUUUCGACGAUUGACUUACAUUUUCGGCGUUGACUAGCAUGUGCACCUCAGGUAACCCACUUAACCCCACUUUUCUUUUAUUUUUUUCCCCUUUUUCCUCCAUUCACUUCCCCUCUUCGUCACUCCUCUGCUUCCAUUUCGCAGAACAGUACAUAAACUGAACCAUUACAAUCACCAUUAGUUCUCCUAAAAGCUACCAAAUUCAAUAAAUGAAACUAAGCAACAAUUUUAGUAGCAAUAAUGCUAACAGCAACAGAUACAACAACACAGGCACAUAUCACCAUUCCUGUUUCCCUGUACAUCCUCUUCAUCUUCUCCAUUUUUUGGUCCCUUCUUGGUGAAUUAACAACAGCCAUCCUACCUGACAAUACACCCCAUAAACAGUUACACAUCACAACACAAAUUGCAGAACAUAUCUUAUAAUUCGCAUAAAACAAAAAGCAAAACACAAAUUGCUAUAAAACAAAUCGAAAAACACAAAUCGCAAAAUUUAAAUUGCUAUAAAACGAAUAGCAAAACGCAUCCCCAAAUUUUCGAAAUUCAGUUCAUUCAAUUGGUUAUGAACCCUAAUUUUCAAAUUCCUUAAAUUAAUUGUUCAAACUUUAAAAAAUAAAUAAAUUCGUAUAAAUGCUUGCUUGAAUUGCGUUUUCCCUUUGUGUUUGAUACGAUUUUGAUGGAUCUUCAAUUAGAUAUGCCUCUGAGUUGCAGAAAGGAGAAGCCACCGUUGUGCGAAAUGGAAGCAAAGGAGUGACGAAAAGGAAAAGUGAAUGGAGGGAAAAAGGGAAAAAAAUAAAGGAAAAAAUGGAAACUAAUAAUCCCACCUUUGGGUUUUCUGCUCAAAACAAUCUCACCUUUUCGAAAUCCCAAAACAAUCCCACCUUUAACCCCCAUCUGCUCAAAAUGAUCCCUUUUACCCAUAAUAGGUUGAUUUUUUUUUAUUAAUUUCUUAAAUCUCUUCUCCCUAACCUCUUCAAUGGCAACUCCACCAUUAUCACCAACCCCAGCAUAACCAGACCACCACUUCAUCAACACCACCACAUCACUACCUGACCCAACCUCGCCUGGUCCAACAGAACCCCCCGCCACUGCACCACACCACCCAACCUCGCCGCCUGGUCAGCAGAACCCCCCACCCAAUCCCUAAACCCAACCACCCUCAAAUCCUAGCUGACCCCCUCACCUAACCCAAGCGAUCCACCUGACCUCCACCACGUACUCCCAACCAUAUUCCAUGCCACCAAAUCGGCAAACCUCACCUUCUCCUAUCUGGCCCACGCGAAACUCGAGGUCUGUUUUGCCGUAACCGCCGCCGUUGCGAACAACAACAAUUUAGUCUUAUCUCGAAAUUAUUCUGAUCUAAAUCGAGUGUUGUGAGAAUGUGAGUUCAUCGUCGAUUUCGGUGGUUGGACCUUGUGAGUUAACUCGGUGCAGUAACCGGUGAGUCCGGGCCGAUUCAAGGCGAGUCCGGCGAGGUUGGUGGCUAACAAAUUAUGCGAAUUUUGCGUUUUGUUUGAGUCCAUUGGUGAGAGCUUCGCCGACAAGUCGGUAUCACAGAGUAUGCUAAGUAUGUUUUCUCUGGCAAGGGGAGGGUGGUUUUAAUGGCGAGCCAUUGGUCCUGGGAAGGGGAGAGAAGGAUUUUUUUUUAAUUCUUUUAUUUGUUUUUUAAUUUUUUAAAAAAAAAUCAAUCAAAAUGUGACACGUGGCAAAUUACCUUCUGAAACAGGUUACCAAUUUUACAAAUCAGUAAAAGGCUUGUUUUAAGCAGAUGGUGGUUAAAGGUGGGAUUGUUUAGGGAUUUCGAAAAGGUGAGAUUGUUUUGAGCAGAAAACUUAAAGGUGGGAUUAUUAGUUUCCAUUUUUCCAAAAAUAUAAGAAAAGUAGGGUUAAGUGGGUCACGUGAGGUGCACAUGCUAGUCAACGCCAAAAAUUUAAGUCAAUUGUCGGAAUACGGGGAGUGGUGGGACUUAACAAAAAAAAAAUUAAAAACAGGUGUGCUUGGACAAAAAAAAAAUUAUAAGAUGGUUUUCAACAAAUUUUCCUUCUACAAAACUCAGAAAACUAGCGUAAGGGAAAAAAAAUUAAAAAAUAAAUAAAUAAAUAAGAAAAGAAAAAAACUUGUUGCUGAUUGUACCCUUGAACAAUGUGACGUGCAAUGUUAGCGAUAGCUUGAUCAUGAACAUGAAACAUUGAUCCAUACACCCCAUCCUUGGCAUCGAUAUCCUCUAGUUGUUGCUUGAUCAACUCCGCCUCUUUUGUCUUUCUUUCAAGUUUGGUCAUAUUCUUUCUGUUAAGGUUCCUCAUAUCCUUCAACAAACCUUUCAAAAUAUCCGCAUUUUUGCUGCAAACACAAUCCCAAAAUGUAGCGGGAAAAACAGGGUCGCCCCAAUCAGGGUCGUCCCUGGGCAGGGCAUUAGGUGCCGCUGCCCAGGGCCUAAGGAAUUAGGGGUUCAAUUACAAUUUGUUCAGUUUUAGUUAUAGAAAUUUGAUGAAUAAAUUCUUUGCUUUUUUUAAAAUUAGAUGAAUAAUAAAUGCUCCUGUUUUCUACUACUUUCACUAUUCACAUGCAUAACUUCUUCCACCAAUUAUUUUCUCCAAAUUUAAUAUUUUAAUUUCACGUGUAUUGAACUUUCAUGUAUUCCAUUAUGGAUUCAAGGUUAUGUCUCUAGCUAAAUUUUGUGAUUUUAGAAUAUUAUACUUUAAUAUGGCAUUUUGUAGAGUUGUGGGUGAUAAAAAAAAUUAAGUAAAAGCUUUCAUAUAAGGACUACCGUAAAAGUGAGUAGACCACAAUACAGCAGAAGAAAUGUUUUAGUAGUCGUCUUUGGAUGCUUAAAUUGAAGUUUUAAAUGUGUAUUAAAACUAAUGUAUUAUUUUGAAGAAAAAAAUAUUUUAUAUAUGCAAAUUUAAAUUUUUUACUUUACUUUAUAAUUAAGGACCCAAUUUGUUAUUUCGCCCAUAGGCCAUCAGAAUCUUAGAAACGGGCAUGGCCCAAUCAGCUAAAUCGCUCUGAAGCUUUAUUUUUUUCUUUAAUGAAUUACGUGUUAACUUUUCAAUUACAUUUGCGCUCAUUACAUCAUCAACACUACGACGACGACGAUGCAACCUUGAAGCAUACAUAGUUCCGAUACUGGUGCUGAAUUUCACUUUCGAUGUUGCUUUUUUCCAGAGAAGAAGAUGUCGCCCAGCCAUCGCCCUAAUCGGACUUAUGAUAUUAGAAACUAAAUACGCAAGAUUGAGCAACAUGAUUCUGAUAACGUGCACAAUAUUUUGGUAUGAAAUAAGGAAGAAGGUUCUGAAGAAUAGGGGUUUUGAUCUUCAGGCUGGAUAUGGAACGAGGUACUGAAGAAGCUGAAGAGGCAAAAUGGGUUGUUACUUGUUUGGCCUCCUCUGCAUCGUGCCCACUUCCAGCCCGUCAACCAGUCUUGCUCAAUUAGUGAAGGAGGUCAAUGAGGCAAGGGUGCUGGAUACGACAAGCAAACUUUGUGAAAAGCUUCUGAAUAUGAACG